UACGUAGGGCGCAAGCGUUGUCCGGAAUUAUUGGGCGUAAAGAGCUCGUAGGCGGCUUGUCACGUCGAUUGUGAAAGCCCGAGGCUUAACCUCGGGUCUGCAGUCGAUACGGGCUAGCUAGAGUGUGGUAGGGGAGAUCGGAAUUCCUGGUGUAGCGGUGAAAUGCGCAGAUAUCAGGAGGAACACCGAUGGCGAAGGCAGGUCUCUGGGCAUUAACUGACGCUGAGGAGCGAAAGCAUGGGGAGCGAACAGG
rnacentral:rRNA from 1 species